UACGUAGGGUGCGAGCGUUGUCCGGAAUUAUUGGGCGUAAAGAGCUUGUAGGCGGUCUGUCGCGUCUGCUGUGAAAAUCCGGGGCUCAACCCCGGACUUGCAGUGGGUACGGGCAGACUAGAGUGUGGUAGGGGAGACUGGAAUUCCUGGUGUAGCGGUGAAAUGCGCAGAUAGCAGGAGGAACACCGAUGGCGAAGGCAGGUCUCUGGGCCACUACUGACGCUGAGAAGCGAAAGCAUGGGGAGCGAACAGG
rnacentral:rRNA from 1 species